rnacentral:rRNA from 1 species
GUCGAGGGGCAUCAGUUUGGUUUGCUUGCAAACCAAAGCUGGCGACCGGCGCACGGGUGAGUAACACGUAUCCAACCUGCCUCAUACUCGGGGAUAGCCUUUCGAAAGAAAGAUUAAUAUCCGAUAGCAUAUAUUUCCCGCAUGGGUUUUAUAUUAAAGAAAUUCGGUAUGAGAUGGGGAUGCGUUCCAUUAGUUUGUUGGCGGGGUAACGGCCCACCAAGACUACGAUGGAUAGGGGUUCUGAGAGGAAGGUCCCCCACAUUGGAACUGAGACACGGUCCAAACUCCUACGGGAGGCAGCAGUGAGGAAUAUUGGUCAAUGGACGCGAGUCUGAACCAGCCAAGUAGCGUGAAGGAUGACUGCCCUAUGGGUUGUAAACUUCUUUUAUAUGGGAAUAAAGUGGUCCACGUGUGGAUUUUUGUAUGUACCAUAUGAAUAAGGAUCGGC